AGAUUGAACGCUGGCGGCAUGCCUUACACAUGCAAGUCGAACGGCAGCACGGGAGCAAUCCUGGCGGCGAGUGGCGAACGGGUGAGUAAUACAUCGGAACGUGCCCAAUCGUGGGGGAUAACGCAGCGAAAGCUGUGCUAAUACCGCAUAAGAUCUACGGAUGAAAGCAGGGGAUCGCAAGACCUUGCGCGAAUGGAGCGGCCGAUGGCAGAUUAGGUAGUUGGUGAGGUAAAGGCUCACCAAGCCUUCGAUCUGUAGCUGGUCUGAGAGGACGACCAGCCACACUGGGACUGAGACACGGCCCAGACUCCGUACGGGAGGCAGCAGUGGGGAAUUUUGGACAAGUGGGACGAAACGCC
rnacentral:rRNA from 1 species